GACGAACCGUGCGAACGUUGUUCGGAAUCACUGGGCUUAAAGGGCGCGUAGGCGGGCUGCCAAGUCUGGGGUGAAAUCCCACGGCUCAACCGUGGAACUGCCUCGGAUACUGGCGGUCUCGAGGGAGGUAGGGGCAUGCGGAACUGUGGGUGGAGCGGUGAAAUGCGUUGAUAUCCACAGGAACACCGGUGGCGAAGGCGGUUCUCUGGGCAUGUCCUGACGCUGAGGAGCGAAAGUGUGGGGAGCGAACAGG
rnacentral:rRNA from 1 species